rnacentral:lncRNA from 1 species
GGAUUAAUUAAAAGAAGAUAUCCACACGUUGGUGUAGUAUUUGCGUUGGAGAAUACCGUAAAAGGUUUGAAGCACCAAGAUUCUUGCAAUUAAAGAAGCCGGAAGUUCACGGAUCAGAGUUAAUUCAAAGGUUGAUCAUCGAACUUAGGUAAAAGAUUCAAAUUCUUUAAUUUUGUUAUAACAUACACGUUAACAUCUAGACAAUCCCGUUUAUUGAAUUAAAGAAAAUUUGAAUUUCUGGAUAACUUCGCUUCCGCAUUCCAACACCUUCUGCCUUCAUGGCUGUGAUUACACUCCUCUUUGUGUGUCUUCCAUUGGCAAGCCAAAGCAACUGAAGAGAAAGAGUGGUUAAGAGGUUUUGGGUUGGUUUUCCUGAGGACGUGGAUUGGUUGGAUCUAUACUGAGCCCAGAGAAGUCAUUGGGGUCAAAUCUUCCACGACAAAUUCGAAUAUGUUUACGCUGAUAAGGGGUUUGUAUAUAUGUUGUAUUAACAACAAUUAUCAGAACUCAGUACAGUAGCAAGUAACAACAACAAACUUCUUUUCUACUGUGAUUUGGAACAAGGAUAGGUGCAUAUAUAUAUAAAAUAGAUUAAAAAUAAAAUUUUCAGGAUAAAAUGUGAUUCAUUUCCCUUCUGAUUUCUUGGUCAUUCUUAUUUCUUCUGUACU